rnacentral:rRNA from 1 species
AUUGAACGCUGGCGGCAGGCUUAACACAUGCAAGUCGAGCGAGCGGCGGACGGGUGAGUAAUGUCUGGGAAACUGCCUGAUGGAGGGGGAUAACUACUGGAAACGGUAGCUAAUACCGCAUACCAUCAGAUGUGCCCAGAUGGGAUUAGCUAGUAGGUGGGGGAAUGGCUCACAUAGGCGACGAUCCCUAGCUGGUCUGAGAGGAUGACCAGCCAGGCUGGAACUGGGACACGGCCCAGAUGCCUACGGGAGGCGGCAGUGGGGAAUAUUGGACGAUGGGGUCAAGCCUGUUGCGGCCAUGCCGCGUGUGUGAAGAAGGCCUUCGGGGUGUAAAGCACUUUCAGCGGGGAGGCGUUACUCGCAGAAGAAGCACCGGCUAACUCCGUGCCAGCAGCCGCGGUAAUUC